rnacentral:lncRNA from 1 species
GGUCUGCAGCUUCACUCUUGAAGUCAGCGAAACCGCAAACCCACCAGAAGGAAGAAACUCCGGACACAUCUGAACACCUGAAGGAACAAACCCCGGACACACCAUCUCUAAGAACUGUAACACUCACCGCCAGGGUCCGCGGCUUCAUUCUUGAAUCAGUGAGACCAAGAACCCACCAAUUCCAGACACAGAAGUUACUGAACCCCAACAUUUUGGUUUGGAGUACUCUCUUCAGAAGUGUUCAAGGUUCAAAUUGAGGUCUUCUGUUGUCAUGGAAUAACUUUCUCAACAAUGUACAUUGGAUUGAAACAUCGUAAUUCUUUCCAUGACAACAGUGUCUGAUGUUACAGAUGUACAACCAGUGAGGUCAAUAGUUGACAGAUGGACGUUGAAGCCAUGCAAUUACACCUCCCAAACCAUUAUAAAGAAUGUAACAGAAGAAAGGUGGAACCCAGUCUAAAACACACCAAACAAUAAAAGGCACUAAAAUAAUUGCUUCACAUUUAAUGAAUCUUUCUUUAAUAUGACAACCAAUCCAAGAAUCUUUGAAUUCCCUUUCCCUGGUAAAAGUCAAAACAUUUUUGAGGCGGUGGCAGUUUAUCUAAAUUACUGUUUUUUCUCCAUCAGUCUUUAGGCUUAAUCUCAUUUGCUUUUAUGGAUAUGGUAACCCUUUUGAAUAGCUUUUAACCUUUUAAAAGUCGCCUUGAC